AAAAAUGCUGCUAAUUAGGAAGAUGACUGUGGGUCCCUGCUGAGGGAGAGCUCACAAAGACCUGUUGUCUCCACAGGAUCAGCUCCUUAUUAAGAUGUGGCAGAUCUAAUCUGUAAAGACCCUGCAUUGUUGAGAGGCCACCACUUCUCUCCAAGAGGCUGAGGAUACUGAGGGGAAGCUGUGAGGAAGCCCUGGCCCUCUGAUUCCCUGGCUGAAGAGGGGAAGAUGAUGCUGGAGCUUUCUCCAUUCAAUCAGCUGAAUUUCCACCCCUACAGCUGGAUUUUGAUCCUAUGGUUCAGGCUGAAGUUUUCCUUACUUCUGCAGAGACUGCCCUAACCAACAUCAGCAGAACCACCUGAGCCAUCAGCCUCACCCAGCGGGGAGAAUGAUCACGCGCCGUCUUGUCGGGUUUGUCGUGAAGGGUGACGUCCCCAGUGACCUGGUGCUUAGCUUCCAGAGGAGGCCAACGGCCUUGCCAUCCAGGUGCAGGGAUUCCCAGAAGGUUUUUCAUGGAUGUCAGAGAGGAAAAAACCUGGCAGCAGAACCCUGGAUACAGCUGGGACUGGAUCACAGGCAAGAACCACUCCAAUCCCCCCUCUCACCCACGCGAGAUGUGAUGUGGGGGGAGCUGUGUCUCGUGUUGAGCAGAGACAUCCUGUUCUCUGUUUCUGAUGUGCUGGAUCUUUAAAACGCACAAUGUUGUAUCUACCACUGAAUUAAGCAGUGUUUGCUUUUCAAACCUUCCACAUUUGUAUUUUUAGCUCCAUUUUGGCAUUCACUUUCUUGGUUGGAAUAUAUAACGCACUCGGUUGUUU
rnacentral:lncRNA from 1 species